CAGUCGCCGCGGGAAUACAGAGGGUGCGAGCGUUAAUCGGAUUUACUGGGCGUAAAGCGUGCGUAGGCGGCUAAUUGAGUCGGAUGAGAAAUCCCCGAGCUUAACUUGGGAAUUGCAUUCGAUACUGGUUAGCUAGAGUGUGGGAGAGGAUGGUAGAAUUCCAGGUGUAGCGGUGAAAUGCGUAGAGAUCUGGAGGAAUACCGAUGGCGAAGGCAGCCAUCUGGCCUAACACUGACGCUGAGGUACGAAAGCAUGGGGAGCAAACAGGAUUAGAUACCCCUGUAGUCCCUGUCUCUUAUAC
rnacentral:rRNA from 1 species